UUGAACUCACCUCUGGCUCCUCAGCCAGAUGAGUUGUAGAGCCAGCCAAUUAUUUAAAGGUUAUUCUUUAGCCAUGGACUUUUAUUUGCCACUGUAAUAUAUUCUGUAAAAUUGCAACAGAUAAUGCAACAAUUGUUAUGCUUCACCUUGGUAGGUUUGAUAAAAGCAUACAUUUGAACUACACUGCCCCUCCCCAAUUCUUCAGUUAUGGUGGGUUCUACUUAAUUUGCUAUUUUUAAUCACCACAUUGCUUUAUACUUUCUAUGUCAAAAAAGCUCCAUAAACUCCUCAGAUAAAAUGAAAACAAUGUAUGGAAAAUAGCCCCACUGUUCUUACAUAAAUUUUAUUAAGUAUCUUGGCAUUAGUCACAUCUCCUGUUCAAACAUUUUAAGCGUGGAAAUACUGUAAUACUAUGAAAAUCCUUUUUUUAAGUCAGGUGUUGAAAUGUGUUGCUUCUUGUCUUAAAUGUAUCUUAUU